rnacentral:rRNA from 1 species
GAUGAACGCUGGCGGCGUGCCUAAUACAUGCAAGUCGAGCGAACAGACGAGGAGCUUGCUCCUCUGACGUUAGCGGCGGACGGGUGAGUAACACGUGGAUAACCUACCUAUAAGACUGGGAUAACUUCGGGAACCGGAGCUAAUACCGGAUAAUAAUAUGAAACGUAUGGUUUAAUAGUUAAAGACGGUUUUUCUGUUACUUUUAGAUUGAACCGCGCCGCAUUAGCUAGUUGGUAAGGUAACGGCUUACCAAGGCGACGAUGCGUAGCCGACCUGAGAGGGUGAUCGGCCACACUGGAACUGAGACACGGUCCAGACUCCUACGGGAGGCAGCAGUAGGGAAUCUUCCGCAAUGGGCGAAAGCCUGACGGAGCAACGCCGCGUGAGUGAUGAAGGUCUUCGGAUCGUAAAACUCUGUUAUUAGGGAAGAACAAAUGUGUAAGUAACUAUGCACGUCUUGACGGUACCUAAUCAGAAAGCCACGGCUAACUACGUG